AACGAACGCUGGCGGCAUGCCUAACACAUGCAAGUCGAACGAGACCUUCGGGUCUAGUGGCGCACGGGUGCGUAACGCGUGGGAACCUGCCCUUAGGUUCGGAAUAACUCCCCGAAAGGGGUGCUAAUACCGGAUAAUGUCUUCGGACCAAAGAUUUAUCGCCUUUGGAUGGGCCCGCGUUGGAUUAGCUAGUUGGUAGGGUAAAAGCCUACCAAGGCGACGAUCCAUAGCUGGUCUGAGAGGAUGAUCAGCCACACUGGGACUGAGACACGGCCCAGACUCCUACGGGAGGCAGCAGUGGGGAAUAUUGGACAAUGGGCGAAAGCCUGAUCCAGCAAUGCCGCGUGAGUGAUGAAGGCCUUAGGGUUGUAAAGCUCCUUUACCUGGGAUGAUAAUGACAGUACCGGGAGAAUAAGCUCCGGCUAACUCCGUG
rnacentral:rRNA from 1 species